GGAUUCCGGGUUGAUACGUCCCCCAACUUCUAGCCGAGAUCCUUCUCUCUUCACAACUGAUAACUGGAAACUCCCAUUUGUUGGGACGACGGCUGCCAACGGGAAAAUAAGGCUCGAACUUCUGCCGUCGCGCUUUGUUAGGCGAACCUGCUGUUGUGCCGGACAAUUGUGCCGGUUAACAAUUAAGAGUGACCUCGAUUCUUGAGCGGACAAAUAUACGCCGGGUAUUGCGGGAUUCUCG
rnacentral:lncRNA from 1 species